AAAAACGAAACUUAACUAGACGUGGGUAGUUCUCCCCACCCCGGCCCGGCCCCGCCCCACCCCAGUAUUGUUACGCGCGCGCGGAGAGUAUCGUUGCAUAAUACUCAUACCAAGUACAUGAAGAUAAAUGUAUGAAAAUGUAGAGGAUUUCUGCCUCCAGCCAAGAUGGAGUAAUAAGGACUGGAUUUAACCUGUUUGAAACAACCAAAAAAAAAAAAAAAAGCAAACCCAUACAAAAUUCAUGAAACAAUGGUUUUCAAGACACAGCAGAAAACAAAGGAAAAGUGAUCCCUGAAAGACGGUUAAAAAAAAUAAGGCAUGGGAUCCUUGGAGGGCAGAUGCAGACCCUCAGAGAUGCCCUGAAGCUUAAUCUCUGACAAGGCAAGCACACACAUACUUGCAGCAAACCAACUGCUGGCUUCUCCCUCAUGCCAACUGCUGAAUCAAUGCGCCCAGGAAGAAGAGCCAGGAAUCUCCACUUUCCAUGGGUCAGAUACUCCAAACCACUGUGGAUGGGCAGCCUGCACGAGUAUUAAUACUUCUGUGCCAGGAUGGCUAGGUAACUGGAUGGAAUAGGCAAGAAGUUGAUGCCAGCUGAAUCACCUGUUGAAUGUGAUUGGGCUGCCAGCUUGGGGCAGGGAUGGUUGCCACCAUGUCCUACCCUGAGAUGCCAAAGGGGCAGGCGUCUGAUUCUGACUCUGCCUGUGCCCGUGCCCAAGCCCCCUACUGGAGACAGAGGGCAGCAUUAGUUGCCAGGAGAGGAGGCUGAGGUAGGAAAGUGGUCAGCCAGAACCUAUCCAAAGAGGCAAUUCAACAGACACAGGAAGGGCCACAUGUGAACCCAGGCUCCAAGCCCCCCGUGCAUGCUCUGUUGUCCCCUGGGACUUCACUUACAAAACAAAGAUAAAAUUAUAAAUUUCAAGAUGGUGACCACAGAGCAUUAAAUCCAAACAUGGGCCCUUUUGGAACUUGGGGCCCUGUGCGACUGUCAGGUCCACGGAGCCAGCCUUGUCCACCAGUGGGGGAACCAAGGCAGCCUGGCAGACUUCCAAAAUUGAGUAGACACAGCUGUGCAUCUGCAGAUGCCAAGGCAACUGGAGCACAUAAGAAAGAACGCCAGAGAGAAGAGACCUGCACAGAGGCAUACCUCCAAAGAUCUGCAGAUGGUGUCCUUCAAAUGUUCAAGAGAACUAAUCAGUGCAUUCACAUGAGGAAAAUACCUCACAUACAAAAGAACCAUCUGAAAGAAUUAGAAAAAACAAUUCCUAGUAUUCAUAUAAAGUCAGGAAUAGUGGCUGUUUCUACCAGCCAGAAUAGAAAACCUCAUGACUCACAGGGCACUGCGUAGAUAGACAGGUCUUCCUGGAGUAGUGGAGAAUAAUUAACACUAGGAAACUCAAAAAGAUUAAUAGAAGUACAAAAAUAUCCAAGAUCUAACAUAGAUAAACUGACAGUGUCUGGUAUCCAAUUAAAAUAACUAGACAUGCAAAAAGGCAAGGAAAUACAACCCAUAAUGAAAAUAAUCAAUUGAUCAAAAACAAAGCAGAAAUUUUAGAAUUAGCAGAGAUAACAUUAAACUGAUUAUAACUGUAUUCCAUAUGUUAAAAAAUUAAUUAAGACAUGGGAGAUAUAAAAAAGAUAAAAUGAACUUGUAACAGAUAAAAACUACAAUGUCUAAUAUGAAAAACAUACUGGAUGGGGAGUUCCCUGGUGGCUCAGUGGGCUAAGGAUCCAGAAUUAUCACUGCUGUGGCAAGGGUUUGAUCCCUGGCCCGGGAACUUCUGCAUGCCAUGGAUGUAGCCAAAAAAUUUUUAUAUGCAUGUGUGUACACACACACACACACACACAGGCUGGAUGAGAUUAACAGCAAAUUAGACAUUGCCAAAAAACAUAUUAGUGAUCUUGAAGGCAUAGCAAAACUACCUGACCAAAAAAAAAAAAAAAAAAAAA